UGGGGAAUAUUGCACAAUGGGCGCAAGCCUGAUGCAGCCAUGCCGCGUGUGUGAAGAAGGCCUUCGGGUUGUAAAGCACUUUCAGCGAGGAGGAAGGUGGUGAGCUUAAUACGCUCAUCAAUUGACGUUACUCGCAGAAGAAGCACCGGCUAACUCCGUGCCAGCAGCCGCGGUAAUACGGAGGGUGCAAGCGUUAAUCGGAAUUACUGGGCGUAAAGCGCACGCAGGCGGUUUGUUAAGUCAGAUGUGAAAUCCCCGGGCUCAACCUGGGAACUGCAUUUGAAACUGGCAAGCUAGAGUCUCGUAGAGGGGGGUAGAAUUCCAGGUGUAGCGGUGAAAUGCGUAGAGAUCUGGAGGAAUACCGGUGGCGAAGGCGGCCCCCUGGACGAAGACUGACGCUCAGGUGCGAAAGCGUGGGGCAGCAAACAGGAUUAGAUACCCUGGUAGUCCACGCUGUAAACGAUGUCGAUUUUGGAGGUUGUGCCCCUUGAGGCGUGGCUUCCGGAGCUAACGCGUUAAAUCGACCGCCUGGGGAGUACGGCCGCAAGGUUAAAACUUAAAUGAAUUG
rnacentral:rRNA from 1 species